rnacentral:rRNA from 1 species
AGAGUUUGAUCCUGGCUCAGAAUCAACGCUGGCGGCGUGCCUCAGACAUGCAAGUCGAACGCGAAAGUCCCCUUCGGGGGAUGAGUAGAGUGGCGCACGGGUGAGUAACACGUAGGUAAUUUGCCUUCGGGUGGGGAAUAACAGCCGGAAACGGCUGCUAAUACCGCAUAAUGCAGCGGCUCGACAUCGAGACAGUUGUUAAAGCGGGGGAUCGCAAGACCUCGCGCCUGAAGAGAAGCCUGCGGCGGAUUAGCUUGUUGGUAGGGUAAUGGCCUACCAAGGCGACGAUCCGUAACCGGCCUGAGAGGGCGGUCGGUCACACUGACACUGACAUACG